GACGAACGCUGGCGGCGUGCCUAAUACAUGCAAGUCGAGCGAUGAAGAUUGGUGCUUGCACCAAUUUGAAGAGCAGCGCACGGGUGAGUAACGCGUGGGGAAUCUGCCUUUGAGCGGGGGACAACAUUUGGAAACGAAUGCUAAUACCGCAUAACAACUUUAAACAUAAGUUUUAAGUUUGAAAGAUGCAAUUGCAUCACUCAAAGAUGAUCCCGCGUUGUAUUAGCUAGUUGGUGAGGUAAAGGCUCACCAAGGCGAUGAUACAUAGCCGACCUGAGAGGGUGGUCGGCCACAGUGGGAGUGAGACCCGGCCCAAGCGCCCUCGGGAGGCAGCAGUAGGGAAUCUUCGGGCAUGGAGGAAAGUCUGGACGCGCAACGCCGCGUGAGUGAAGAAGGGUUUCGGAUCGGAAAACUCGGUUUGUAGGGAAGAACGUUGGUGAGAGUGGAACGCUCAUCAAGUGACGGUAACUACCCAGAAAGGGACGGCUAACUACGUG
rnacentral:rRNA from 1 species